rnacentral:rRNA from 1 species
AGUGAACGCUGGCGGUAGGCCUAACACAUGCAAGUCGAACGGCAGCACAGGAGAGCUUGCUCUCUGGGUGGCGAGUGGCGGACGGGUGAGGAAUACAUCGGAAUCUACUUUUUCGUGGGGGAUAACGUAGGGAAACUUACGCUAAUACCGCAUACGACCUACGGGUGAAAGCAGGGGACCUUCGGGCCUUGCGCGAUUGAAUGAGCCGAUGUCGGAUUAGCUAGUUGGCGGGGGUAAAGGCCCACCAAGGCGACGAUCCGUAGCUGGUCUGAGAUGAUGAUCAGCCACACUGGAACUGAGACACGGUCCAGACUCCUACGGGAGGCAGCAGUGGGGAAUAUUGGACAAUGGGCGCAAGCCUGAUCCAGCCAUACCGCGUGGGUGAAGAAGGCCUUCGGGUUGUAAAGCCCUUUUGUUGGGAAAGAAAUCCAGCUGGCUAAUACCCGGUUGGGAUGACGGUACCCAAAGAAUAAGCACCGGCUAACUUUGUGCCAGCCGCCGCGGUAA